AUACCUUUCUUGGCCUUUUGGCUAAGAUCAAGUGUAGAAUCUGUUAUUGUCAAUUUAAUAUAUGGUAUAUGAGUCAUUGGUCUCUGCUAUUUUAGCUAUACUUCUAAAGGUUAACCAUUUAUAUAAUUUGCUAUCUGGGAUUUCGAGAGUUUUCUAUGCAUUGCCUUAUAUUAUAGGAAUGGCCACAAAUU